UUAAAUUGAAGAGUUUGAUCAUGGCUCAGAUUGAACGCUGGCGGCAGGCCUAACACAUGCAAGUCGAACGGUAACAGGAAGAAGCUUGCUUCUUUGCUGACGAGUGGCGGACGGGUGAGUAAUGUCUGGGAAACUGCCUGAUGGAGGGGGAUAACUACUGGAAACGGUAGCUAAUACCGCAUAACGUCGCAAGACCAAAGAGGGGGACCUUCGGGCCUCUUGCCAUCGGAU
rnacentral:rRNA from 1 species